AUGUGCGACUCGUACACGUUGGUUUGAGCGCGCCGUGCGCAUCGUCUGACGAUUGCUCGCCCGGUAGUGUUAGCC
rnacentral:sRNA from 2 species